CAGCAGCCGCGGGAAUACGAAGGGGGCUAACGUUGUUCGGAUUUACUGGGCGUAAAGCGCACGUAGGCGGAUCGAUCAGUCAGGGGUGAAAUCCCAGAGCUCAACUCUGGAACUGCCUUUGAUACUGUCGAUCUGGAGUAUGGAAGAGGUGAGUGGAAUUCCGAGUGUAGAGGUGAAAUUCGUAGAUAUUCGGAGGAACACCAGUGGCGAAGGCGGCAACCUGGCUCAUUACUGACGCUGAGGCGCGAAAGCGUGGGGAGCAAACAGGAUUAGAUACCCCAGUAGUCCCUGUCUCUUAUAC
rnacentral:rRNA from 1 species